rnacentral:lncRNA from 15 species
AUGGAUUGGUUUGCAUUGUACUUCUUUCUCCUGUUCGGGUUGCUACCUCUCUAUAUAGCUCAAACAACAGCUACAAAUACAGGUUGUGCAGGUCCACCGGUACUGUGUUGCUCUGGUAAGGACUCCAGCUGUAACAAAAUGGGCUGUUACUGUGACGAUUAUUGCAUGACAGUUAACGACUGCUGUACUGACUUCAAGUCAACCUGCAAACAAUCUUCCACCACUGCACUGCCGAGCCAGCCAAGCACAGCAAGCAGCAGAAUUACAUCUACACUGGCAAAUAACGUCACAACUUCAUCAUCCACGGUCUCAUCUGCAGUAUUGAAUGUGAGCACAAGCUCAGCCUCCACAGCAUCUGCUACUAUAUCAACCAGCCAAACAAGCAGCAGUACAUCUACAGUAGCUGAUAACAACGCAACUUUAGCAGACUCUGUUACGACAGCACCCAGCGCAACAAAUAGCAGUACUGCUUCUACGCUAGCAGAUAACAGCACAACGACCAGCACAACAAACAGCAGUACUGCCUCUACGCCCUCAGAUACCAGCACAACUUCUGCAUUGCCAGUCUCUUUUAUUACAGCAUCCAGAACAAAAAACAGCAGUGCAUCAACGUCGACAGACAUGAGCCCAUCUUCGCCAUCCAUAGUUUCUUCAACAACACCACCCAGUACAACCAGCAGCACUACAGCACUAUUAGAUGUAAGCACAACCUCAGUGUCCAUAGCGUUUGCUACCACAGCAACCAGCCAAAAAAGCGGCAGUACCACAUCUACACCAUUAGAUGGCCUUGCAAGUUCAGCAUCCACAGCUUCAGAUGCCCAAAUAGUUACAUUUCACCUCAAAGUUUCUGUUUUAUCCAAUAAUCAGGAAAAUAAGGAUGGGAUGGUAGAGGCUAUAUCUAAUUUUGUAUCCCAGAUCCUUCUCCAGAUGAACUGUGAGGGCUGCACUUCAACUUUCAGGCUCAUCAAACCUACCUGA